UGCACAGGCAUACACGCAUUUAGGGCCAGGCCCCACAGCACCCUCAGAGCUGCCCUCUGCCUCAGGGGGCCCUGGGCUCCUGAUGCCGCCAGGGGGAGCUGGGGGAGUAGAGAUGGUCCCAACUCCCUACAGAAAGAGUGAAGAGUGGCUUGGUCUCUUUCUCCAUCCAAAAUCGUCUCUGGAUCUCGAGAAGCAGCCCAGCGAGAGUCCCUCACCCCAGCUGGAGAGCAAAGUCACCAGCAAUGAAAUAGACAAAUGAAAAUGGGUUCUGUCAGAGAAUUCUCCUCUUAGCUCAACCGUCACUGAGGAGCUCUCCAAACCCAGGAACUGAUUUCUCCUCUCUCAGUCUCCAUUUCCAUAUCUGUAACGUGAAAGGUUUGGCAAGUUUUACAUCAUUCACUAGGACAAGCCCAACUGGACAAAACCCCAGAAGCAAGAAAAUAGCCUUACCUGGUAACCUGGCUGCAAUUUUGUGCCUCAGACCCAAGUCAACUGGUGCCCCACCCUCUGGACUAUAAAGUGACUGUGUAAGAGGCUGGGAGAGAGUAGAGUGGACAGCUGAAACGUGCUACACUGAGGGAGAAGAGCAUCUAUGCAAGAAGUUUGGUGCCUGAAACUCGGGGGCUUCUGGCGUUCGGCUGGAAACAUACUGAGAUGUCAGGCCACUAGGAUGGAAUUUUCAGGGUCUCGGGCCAUUUUUAAGGAAGACCACCAUCUGCAAAUGAGCUCAGAAAUAUCAUCACGAAAAGCAUGUCUCAGGAUAUGAGAAGUGAAAUGUUGAGACUCCCUGCUCUUCCUCGACCAGUAAAGGAAUCUUGUGUCCUGCACAACAUAAAUUAAAAUCUCCUUAG